rnacentral:hammerhead_ribozyme from 1 species
AUCCAGCUGACGAAUCCCAAAUAGGACGAAACACGCGUCCUGGAU